rnacentral:lncRNA from 1 species
GUUGGGGUAAGUAAUAAUCGGCAAAUAUAUAUUAUAAAAAUCGUUCCGUUGGAACCAAAUAUUAAAAAAUGCAUGUGGUUUCGUUCUAUUAUCUAAAAACCAAUAGCACGUAUGUAUAGUUAUCAAAGGUACCAGGAUUAUAAUUUAGUACGCCAGACGCGCGUUUCGUCUACACAAGACUCAUCAGUGACGCUCAAAUCAAAAUAUUUAUAAAACCAAACAAGUACAAAGUUGAAGAGCAUUGAGGAUCCAAAAUUCCAAAAAGUUGUGCCAAAUACGGCUAAGGUAAUCUAUGCCUGGGAUAAGAAAAUCCUUAGUUUUUCGAAAAGUUCAAAGUUUUGUAAACAGGAAAUUUAUAAAAGUGACCACAUUAUUGAUAUUCAUGUCAACACCGAAGUGUUGACUACUGGGCUGGUGAUACCCUCGGGGACGAAACGUCCACCAGCAGUGGCAUCGACCCAGUGGUGUUAAUAGUUAUCAAAGGUACCAGGAUUAUAAUUUAGUAAAAUAAAUUAUAAUAGGAGUGUUUUAGUUAUACCCUUACAACGGUGUAACAUCAAC